rnacentral:rRNA from 1 species
UACGAAGGGGGCUAGCGUUGCUCGGAAUGACUGGGCGUAAAGGGCGCGUAGGCGGUUUGUACAGUCAGGUGUGAAAUUCCCGGGCUCAACCUGGGGGCUGCACUUGAUACGUAUGGACUGGAGUGGGGAAGAGGGUCGUGGAAUUCCCAGUGUAGAGGUGAAAUUCGUAGAUAUUGGGAAGAACACCGGUGGCGAAGGCGGCGACCUGGUCCUUGACUGACGCUGAGGCGCGAAAGCGUGGAGAGCAAACAGG